GGGGCGGUGACUGCGGGGCGGUGACGGCGCCCUGCCCGCGGAAAGCGCCGUCCGUGCCGCUGCCGCCUCCUCGCCGCUCGCCCUGUGACUGCGCGGGGCUGCGCCGGCCGCUCCGCCCCGCCCCCCGCCCCCCAUUGGCCGGCGCCGUUCCCACGUGACCGCGGGCCCUCACGUUUCUGAGAGCUCACAGCACCGUCUGUGUGCUGCCAACACAGCGGGUUUCCCUGGACCUGCUCCUUGGGCACGGCCAACAGCCGACGGAGGCACCGCACUGACCGGACUCGGUAGAACCCUUUGGAGCCUUAGCAGGGCAGCUCUAGCUACAGAUCUGAAAAUAAACCUCCACCUGUGGAUUGCAGCUCAAAUCCACAGCUUCACGGACAAGAGCAUAGCAACAGCAAGAGUGGUCUCAAUCGAAUUACUGUCUCAAGUAAAAGAGUACCCAAAUCAGCAGUACGGCUCUUUAACUUCAAGAAUUCCAGACAGUACUUUAAGAGUCAUUUUUCUUUCUCCUAAAAUAUUUCUUCUGCUAAGAUCCACAGAAAGUAAAAUCAACAAGAAGAGACACAUGCAU